rnacentral:lncRNA from 1 species
GAUGAUGUGGCACAUGAGUUCAACGGCUUAAUAAAUAAUAUACUAAAAUGCAAUAGCUUAUAGAGGAUAUUUGUAUAAUGAGAUUGGGAGUCUCAUAGAAACAACAUUUCAUUUAAAUGUGUUUUAUAUGUUCAAACACCCAAAAGCUUCAUGAUUCCAGAAGUUAGUGGCUUAAUAAGUAAUAGAAUUAAUUUUUGUAAUUGAUAUUGGAUGGCUUACCUGCACACAAUUCUUAUAGGUAGGCAUUCUUAUAAUCAUCUUGCCCACAUAACUUCAUGCUGUUUAAAUAUUACUGGAGUGAAUCUUUAUGGAGUGCUCUACAUAAACCAUAAGUGUAUUCUUCAUGGAGUAUAAUCCUCAGAUGUACUCUUUGCACGUAGAGCGCAAUUCCAUAAAUUUUGGGUAUUUUUUUAAUUUCCACUUUGUCUUUUAUCCCCUCCCCAAACCAGGAAAGAAAGGCUAUAAAAGAAAGACACCUUAUAAGCAGGAGAAAUGUUUUUUAAUAAGGAUAUAUGAUUGGGAAUGCAGACUGCUUAGAAUUUUGCUUCUCGUUUCUUGACUAGAAUCAUGACUGAAACAUGAAAGGCAUGUUUCUGAAGCAAAAUGGAUGUUAUGUGCAACAUAUUAUGACAGGUGAACUUGAGUUUUCAGUCUAACUAUUGUAUAACUUCUAUGGCACUACAACACAGUAUCUUAUUUAACCGUCAUAAAGGGCUAUUUUUUUUCCACUGAUGAAAGUCUGAGGCACAGUAUGCCAUACAGAUCUUAAAUUAGAGUCAACACUUAGACAUGUCAAGGCUACAGUUUCCUCAUUUUUCCUAAGAAUUCUCUCAUAUAUACUUCACACCAAUCAGAAUGGCCAUCCCAAAAAGUCUACAAACAAUAAAUGCUGGAGAGGCUGUGGAGAGAAAACGGAACUCUCCUACACAAUUUGUGGGAAUGUAAAUUGGUAAAACCACCAUGGAGAACAGUAUGGUCAUUCCUUAAAAAACUAAAAAUAGAACUACCAUAUCAUCCAGCAAUCCUACUACUGGGCAUAUAUCCAGAUAAAACCAU